CUGACGUUAGCGGCGGACGGGUGAGUAACACGUGGGUAACCUACCUAUAAGACUGGGAUAACUCCGGGAAACCGGGGCUAAUACCGGAUAAUACAUGAAACCGCAUGGUUUCAUGAUGAAAGACGGUUUUGCUGUCACUUAUAGAUGGACCCGCGGCGUAUUAGCUAGUUGGUAAGGUAACGGCUUACCAAGGCAACGAUACGUAGCCGACCUGAGAGGGUGAUCGGCCACACUGGAACUGAGACACGGUCCAGACUCCUACGGGAGGCAGCAGGC
rnacentral:rRNA from 1 species